GGCUGGGCUGGGCUGGGGGUGCGGGGUCCUCGUUCUGCCCCCGCCUGGCCGCGGAACCUUGAGCUGUUCACCUCGCCUUCCAGCCCAGCUUCUGGGCUUCGGAAGUCAAAUCCAAGUUGCGGGCUCAGCCCAGGUCCCCAGGCACCGUGAAGCCGCCCGCGCUGUGGCAGCCUCGCUCCCCGUGCAGCUCAGGGCUCCUGGUGGGUAGCGAGGCCCUGCCCUCCCCUGACCCUUCCAUAGCCCCCCUGCAAGCUUGGGAGAGCAGAGCUGAGGACCAGCCAGAACAGGGAAGCAGACACCUCCUUGCUGAAGCCAUGACUGACUGACACACUGGAGACCAGUCAUUCCCUAGCCUGCCCGGGCUGCCCUGAUGGUUCAUUCAUUCAGUCAGAUACUAAAGACCCAGGCUGAGGACUAUCUCCUAAGAAGGAGCCACGUUCACAGGCAGAGGGCAUCAGGCAGAGGAGGAGGCUGGGGAAGGGAAGCCUGCAGCCUGCUGGAAGGUGGAAAGCUGAGAGCAAAACCAAGGCGUCAUCCACGAUUGGCAAGUGCUCCACCAGGUUCCAGAUGCUACCGUGAUGCCAAAUGGACUUCCCUGGGCAGACGACCCCACCAAUGUGUCCUGGAGCCCUGCUUCCCCAGAGCCCCAACCCACCAGGGAAAGAGA